GACGUAGGGCGCGAGCGUUGUCCGGAUUUAUUGGGCGUAAAGAGCUCGUAGGCGGCUUGUCGCGUCGACUGUGAAAACCCGCGGCUCAACCGUGUGGUCUGCAGUCGAUACGGGCAGGCGUAGAGUUGGUAGGGGAGACGUGGAAUUCCUGGUGUAGCGGUGAAAUGCGCAGCUAUCAGGGAGGAACACCGGUGGCGAAGGCGACUCCUGGCCUGUUUCUUGACGCUGAGGCGCGAAAGCUAGGGGAGCAAACGGG
rnacentral:rRNA from 1 species